UCCCUGGUAGCUCAGAUGGUAAAAGUGUCUGCCUUCAAUGCGGGAGACCCGGGUUCGAUCCCUGGGUUGGGAA
rnacentral:tRNA from 1 species